AUACGUAGGGGGCUAGCGUUAUCCGGAAUUACUGGGCGUAAAGGGCGUGUAGGCGGGAAUUUAAGUCAGAUGUGAAAGCCCCGGGCUUAACUUGGGGACUGCAUUUGAUACUGGAUUUCUUGAGGACAGGAGAGGAAAGCGGAAUUCCUAGUGUAGCGGUGAAAUGCGUAGAUAUUAGGAGGAACACCAGUGGCGAAGGCGGCUUUCUGGACUGUAACUGACGCUGAGGCGCGAAAGCGUGGGGAGC
rnacentral:rRNA from 1 species